rnacentral:tRNA from 1 species
GGUGGCUCAGUGGUAGAGUGCUUGCCUUGCAUGCAUAAGGGCCUGGGUUCGAUUCCUCAGCACCA